AUGGACACUGACAAAAACAGGAUUUAUAUUGUAAAGUCUUUUUAUAGACACUUAAUACAAAAUGGUAUCAAAUACCCACACUUAUAUAAGUGGAAAAUUAAAAUGCCACCCAGAGUUAAGAUCUUUAUGUGGCUAGCUCUUAGGAACAUCAUUCUCAAAAAAGAUAAUUUGCUUCAUAGAGGAUGGAAAGGAGAUGAGAAAUGCCCAUUCUGUGGGCGUGAGGAAAGUAUAAAUCAUCUAUUUAUAUCAUGUUCAGUAGCUAGGCUGCUGUGGAAUAUUCUAAAAUCUGCUUUCAACUUAACUGAUAUACAGAUGAUUUGGAUCUGGGGAUGA
rnacentral:rRNA from 1 species